ACCAUUGAUUUUACUUUAAUUUCAAAGCAGUUCUCAGAGGGAGACUGUGCUGUUCCAUCGUAAACAUGAUAAAUCCACAAAAAAAUAAAGACCACUGUGAUCUCUGAUGUAGGAAGUGACAAGAAAAGCUCUGGAAUCCAGACAAAAGCCAGCAUUAUAAGAUAGCAGUGAUUCCAGUGACCAUACCAGAUGUUCUUCCCUACAUUUCCAUAAUGUACUCAACUGGAAUGCAAUUGACUCGUACUAUAACCAGAAGCAAGUUUAUUACAUAGGCACAACUGAUGAAAUCAUGGACCACUAACAAUUGAUGUUCCAGUUCCAUCCCCUCCCCAGAGGUAAAGUGUUGGGACUGUUCCGACCCUCCAUU